GGGGAGCGCCGGAUCCUAGGCUGUGUCCCCGGCGCCCUGGGCUCCCGGGCCUGCACUGCUGGAAUCCCGCUCCCGCCACGCAGCUCCCU
rnacentral:pre_miRNA from 1 species